rnacentral:rRNA from 1 species
CCUACGGGUGGCAGCAGUGGGGAAUAUUGGACAAUGGGGGGAACCCUGAUCCAGCGACGCCGCGUGAGUGAAGAAGUAUUUCGGUAUGUAAAGCUCUAUCAGCAGGGAAGAAAGAAAUGACGGUACCUGACUAAGAAGCCCCGGCUAACUACGUGCCAGCAGCCGCGGUAAUACGUAGGGGGCAAGCGUUAUCCGGAUUUACUGGGUGGAAAGGGAGCGUAGACGGCGAUGCAAGUCUGAAGUGAAAGGCGGGGGCCCAACCCCGGGACUGCUGUUGGAACUGAAUGGCUGGAGUACAGGAGGGGCAGGCGGAAUUCCUGGUGUAGCGGUGAAAUGCGUAGAUAUUAGGAGGAACACCGGUGGCGAAGGCGGCCUGCUGGACUGUGACUGACGUGGAGGCCCGAAGGCGUGGGGAGCAAACAGGAUUAGAUACCCGAGUAGUC